CGUUGAAACACUGUUUCCUGUACGCUCACCGAAGUUAAGCAACGUCGAGCCUGGUCAGUACCUGGAUGGGUAACGGUUUGGGAAUACU